AUACAUAUAUUUUGUGUGUCACCUAAAAAUACGUAAGUAAUUUAUUAAUAUUAUCAAAUAUCCUAUCCUAAUUCUUAUUUCCCCAUUUUCUUCAAGAAUAUCUUUUUUUUACAGUUGGUUUAUUUAAACCAGGAUCCAGUUAAGGUCCAUAUGAUGCAUUUGUGUCUUUUGUCCCUUAAGUCUCUUUCAUUGAGAGCAGUUCUCUCCCCACUUAAUUUUCAUGACAUUCAUGAUGAAAAACCUGGGUCAGUCAUCCUAUAGAAUGUCCCGUAUUUGUCUGUUAGCUUUCUACAGGUGGCCUUGACAUUGUCCCCCUAGUCCUGUGUUUCUUGUAAACUGAAAGUUAAACCUAAAGGCUUGAUCAGAUUCGGGUUGUACAUUUGAGGCUAAAACAGUUCAGAGGUGACGCCAUGUACUCAUACUGAGUCACAUUAGGAGGCAAGAUGUCAGGUGGUCUCCCUCUGUCUGUGAUGCUGUUUGGUCUGUGCGUUCAGGUAGUGGCAGCCUGCUGACUCAUUAUGAAGCCAGUAGCCUGGGGAGGGGCAGGCGGGUGUCAAGGAGUUCAUUCCAAAAGCCUGCCUCAGGCUGUUGAACAGCAUCUUGGCUCUGAACUGAACCUCUUCCCUGUCUUUCUCCCACCCCCACCCCCACCCUCACCCUGCAGGACAGGUCGUGGGCCUCUACUCCCGCUUUGAUGUGAUUCACCUGGCUGCCCAACAAACCUACAACCACCUAGACGUAAGUGUGGGAGAAGCACUGAAGCAGAGGACAUUGUGUCUGGAAGGGGUCCUUUCCUGCCAGCCCCAUGAGAGCUUGGGGGAAGUCAUCGACCGGAUUGCCCGGGAGCAGGUACACCGGCUGGUGCUAGUGGAUGACAGCCAGCAUCUCCUGGGUGUGGUAUCCCUCUCUGACAUCCUGCAGGCUCUGGUGCUCAGUCCUGCUGGCAUCGAUGCCCUCAGCGCCUGAGAAUAUCUGAGUCCUCACUCCCAGACCACCUUCCACCUGUGGAAGUCAAUGAAGGGAGCCGGGGAACUCAGUCUUCAUCUUCUCCCACCCCCAUUGGCUGGUUUGGCUCUAGUUCAGGCUUCUCCAGCCCUCACUAAUUGUCCUUGCCUUGUCUGUGCUCCCGGAAGCCCUCGGGAAUGCCCAGGGUAUCAUGGGAUGGUGAAAUUAAGGGGAACAGCUGCAUCAAGCCUGGAGAUCUCCGAACCAGAGGCACUGGGAUUACCCUGGCACCUGGGUCGUGACAGGCCCCACUGGGGCAAUGAGCCUGUGGGUUCCGUCAGGGGCUCUGGAUUCCUUGGCUUCUGGACCACCUACUGUUCAGGGCCCCAGCUCCUGGGAGUCCCAGCUGGUCUUGCCCCACGGGAACUGUCUUAGUGGUUUCCCACAACUCUGCUCCCGCCCUCCUGCUUGCCCAGGAUUGUCGUUCCUGGGCUGCUGGGGGUCAUCGUGGAGCAGCAGUUAUUUGCAGAGCUGCUUGUUGGAAUGAGGUCCUCCCUCCAUUUUUGUCCUUAGCUCUCACCAGUGAACAGCGUUCUCAGUCCCCAACGAUGGCUCUGUAUUUGGAUCACUGAAGAUGAAUGAUUGAGAAAAGAAAAAGAAAAAGAAUAACCCAUGAACUUACAUUUUAUAAGUUUCACUCAGAAAAAUGCUAGUCAUUUGACCUGAACUGUGGCCAAGACCCCCGUGCUUUCUGAAUUCAAAGACAAGAAAGCAGACCUGUAAUUGACGAACGUUGCAAGGGACCUUUCUUUUGCAUGCAGAGAGUUAAUCCACCGAAAUUUCUUUUUCAUCUUUUAUUUGUAACAAAAUCAUAAAGAAAAUAUUAAUUAGGUAUUUACACAGUAGGUACAACUCAGUCCACAAACUCUAAUCUGCAAGAAACAUAACUUUAUUUUUCUAACAUUGAGCAUAGUUUCUGUUAGGAACCCCACUUCACCAGGUGGUAGAAACUAGUCUCAGUCAAUCAAGCUUUAAAUAGUAUAACUUUGUUCCUUAGUCAUCCUCACCCAUCCAUGCCAACACCUGUUAAAACAUCGCAUUCCCAUCUGUUCGUCAUUUGGUGGGUCAUUAGUGGGCACGGCACCUGCUCCGUGCUUCCUCACUACCUACCAUGAGCCUCUUUGAGCCUGCUUGCUCCCAGGCACGAGGAUAUCCUAGCUCCUGGCCCUGUACCCACUCUGGGCUUUAGGAAGCCAAGUCCCAAGUCCGCCUGCUGACAGGGACAGCAAGUGGUCUGUUCUACUCUGCAUUUUGCUGUUUUCCCAGCCUCUACCCAAACAACAGGGCACCCAGGCUCUUCUAACCUUAUCACCUCCAAACUUCUGUGGAGGAUUUGUCAUUCUCCCCGCUCCCUUCAGCCAUAGCCCCCAUCUCAGGGACCCCAGAAAUGUCUCCCCUACCCCCACCAGCCUGUGGGAUCUCUACCCAGUGGUGAAAAAGAGGGCCUUUUCCUCUAACCCAUCAGCCACUGUAUGUGUCCUGAGCUCUUGCCACCGACCUUGAGGGUCAGGCCUUUGAAAUUUCAAAGUGAAUACUGGGCUUCUGUUGUGUCGCCCGUCCCCUGUGGCAAUGGACACUACAAGUCUGCUGACCAGUGGGCAGAGAGUAGGUUAGUAUUUCUAAAAUAUUAUCCCACCCCAUUUACCUGACACAGCAACAGAGGGGACACAUCUGUGUUCAGACAGCAAAUGAAGGCAUUUUCUCACAGACACUCAGCGUCUUUCCGAUUUUGCCAUAACCCAUGGGCCAGUGCUGGCUCUCUGCUGUUCCUACCUGGCAAGGUCCCAAGUCUUGAGCUCAAGUGGAGGAUGGAGUGGGGGUACUCUCUGGGCACGUCUCCAGUGACAGUAUCCUUGGGGGGCCCGGGGCAGGCUGCCCCCAGCUGUGAGUGGCUCCAGGGAACAUGCAGCGGGAUCCGUUUUCUGAGGCAGAGCCUGGGUUAUACUGCAUUUGCAGAACUUCAGAGGUCAUAACUCGGUCUUUAGGAGGAAAGGGCAGACUUGGUGAGGCACCUUUGAGAGUUAAUCGGUCUCUACCCUCCUGCGGCUGCUAUUCUUAGGACCCAGCAGUUUCCCCCCUUAGGCCCUUCUGUAAGGAACCAUGUCACCUCCCUGCCUCAGACCUCCACCUCUGAUCACAGCUCCACACCCAGCUCCUGACCAGCCCUCUCACAUCAUGGCUGCUACAAGAAAGGCAAAGGUUUCCAUGGGAACUGCAGCUCUUGUGCCUGGCUUGGAAUAAAAGUGAGACCUCUAUCGCCUCUGUUCAUACAUGAACCUGGGGCCGCCCGAGUUUUCCAGGAGCCAUUGCCUUCCUGUCCCAAACUCUUCCCCUAACCUCAGAGGCCCCUGUGAGAUUCUGUAGCCUGCCAGCCAGACUCCCAUAGACUCCCCUCUUUACCCUGUCUCCCCGCUCACACCGUCUCACUGGUUCUCAACCUUGGAUGUGUGACAGGAUCACCUGGGAAGCUUUAUAAAAUGCAUAUUCCAGGGUCCCAUUCCUAGAGAUACUAAUCCUGAUGGGGGGGUGGGACUUAGGCCACUGUUCAUUCGCUGUAGAAACUAGAGGCUUAUGAUUAAUAACAUGUAAUGAGCAUGAUGGUGUGCUGCUGAGAAAUAAAGAUGCUUCAUUUUCAUAAUUAGUAAAAUCAUUUUAUUGAGUCUAUCUUAUUUAUUAUGAUAAUUUACAAGAAGUGCUGGCUGAGUAGUGGCAUCAUAAAGAAGAUAAACUAUUUGUUAGCAUCCUCACUGCCCUUCUUCUAAACAUCCUUACAUGCAGAAUUCAGUAGUCUCAUGUAUGCCCAUUCCAUCAUGACAAGUGUCUUCAUGUGGUUACCAUGCAUAUUAAAACUGGAAUCAUAAAUAAUAACCUGGAAACAAACUCAUAUUACCAAGACAAAAUACACUCAGAGCUAAAACUUCUAUAGAACAUGAGCAUGUCAGAAAGCAUUGGACACUCUUAUUUUAUUCCUGGUAGUGCUGCAUAGUUGUUCAAAAAGAUGAGGUAUUUUCUUCAAGUCUUACUCAAAAAUAUGGAUCCUGAUUUGGCCAAUGAAUUCAAAUUAGGUGCAAUAGGUAGUGAGAUGUGCACAUUCUUUUCAGUUAAAUGUUUUAAUAUCUACUGUCUUGCCAGUGGGUUUCAGC